GAUGAACGCUAGCGGCAGGCCUAAUACAUGCAAGUCGAACGAGCUACAGGACUUCGGUUCUGUGGUUAGUGGCGCACGGGUGCGUAACGCGUAUGCAACCUACCUUCCACAGGGGGAUAGCCUUCCGAAAGGAAGAUUGAUACCGCAUAACACCAUGAAGUGGCAUCACUUUAUGGUCAAAGCUGAGGCGGUGGAAGAUGGGCAUGCGUGCCAUUAGUUAGUUGGUAGGGUAACGGCCUACCAAGACUUCGAUGGCUAGGGGUUCUGAGAGGAUGGUCCCCCACACAGGUACUGAGACACGGACCAGACUCCUACGGGAGGCAGCAGUAGGGAAUAUUGGGCAGUGGAAGAGAUUCUGACCCAGCCAUGCCGCGUGCAGGAAGAAGGCCUUCUGGGUCGUAAACUGCUUUUAUCUGGGAAGAAAACGCUCCUGCGGGGGUAACUGACGGUACCAGAUGAAUAAGCACCGGCUAACUCCGUGCCAGCCGCCGCAGUAAAAC
rnacentral:rRNA from 1 species